CUUAUCCAACGUAUCGUGUGGUUUAUUUGCGUCGAAAACUCGUUUCUGUAUAUUUUGUUGUGUAAUUCUAAGGCAGUACAUGCUGUUCUGCUAUUAUUGUCGUGAGUGUGUGACCUGCUUUGAUCUGAUAUGGUCUGCUAUAAUUGUGGUCUUCGAGAAUCUAAAAUCAAAGUAUGAGAUCAACCACACUCUUGACCACACUCUUGUCUGAUUGACUCUUCAAUGCGAUGCCGUUAAAAAGCGAUACCUCAAUAUCGAUGAUUGUUUCAUUGAAGGAUGGGGAUCCUUGUCCCGAUGAAGUGAACGGACGUCCACACAACAUCCUUGGGACAUACAUUAGUCGUCCAACAUAUAGUGACAUAAAUGGGACAUAUUUCGGAUAUCACAGGACGUCAGAUUAUUGCUUGGUUUCAGAGUCUGUCAGACCGAGCUCGUAAUCGCUAUCGCUCAAAUCUACGGCCGGAAAGUAGCAGGCCGCGAGGAUUUUACUCUUACCGUUUUCUCUGUUGAGAUUCUUCGUCCACGCUUGAACGGAGCGAGGUAAACUCCAUGACACGAUUAUGACGUUAUUCCAAUUGACGCUGGACGGACUUAUUAUCAUACGAGUAUUUAUGUUCGCUUUUGCGACUUCUGCCGCACCGCCAACCAGCGAGCCGACGACUCCCAGCAGCGAUAGAAUAGGUAAGCUCUCUCUCUCCAAGAGUCGAAUCUGUCGCAGUAAUAUAUUUCCAUGCUUUCUCGGCGUGUAUUUUAUUAGCUACAUGUCAUUUCACAAGAUCUUUAUUCCGUGAAUAAGCUAUGUCGUGUUCGCGACACGCUGUGUCCAACGGAUUAAUAAUUAGCCUCGAUUGCCUCUAAUCAAUCGCUUUUCUAAAUGCGUUCCUGGAUCGCAAAAUUGAUAUCCGAGGAUAUAUAAUUCGAAUGCAAGUGCGUUUAUCACGUGAUUUAAAAAGCUGCAGUCUUUUGUUGUACUUGACAUUCGCAAUUUGUUUGAGAUCGUUAAUUCGGGAAAAAGUAAGAAUUCUUUCGGUCGACCGACAGUGAUUGUUGUUGAACGCACGCCUGAGGUGAGCUCGUGAUUUCAUCUCGAGCAUGAUCUUAAUCCUCGUCAAAGUCAGCGAUUUGCCGUUCUUUGUUCAUUGCAAAACAAUUC